UACGUAGGGGGCUAGCGUUGUCCGGAAUCAUUGGGCGUAAAGCGCGUGUAGGCGGUCCGGUAAGUCCGCUGUGAAAGUCAAGGGCUCAACCCUUGAAUGCCGGUUGAUACUGUCGGGCUAGAGUCCGGAAGAGGAGUGUGGAAUUCCUGGUGUAGCGGUGAAAUGCGCAGAUAUCAGGAGGAACACCAAUGGCGAAGGCAGCA
rnacentral:rRNA from 1 species